CCUACGGGAGGCAGCAGUAGGGAAUAUUGGGCAAUGGAGGCAACUCUGACCCAGCCAUGCCGCGUGCAGGAUGAAGGCGUUAUGCGUUGUAAACUGCUUUUAUAUAGGAAGAAAGAGUUCUUGCGAGAACAGUUGACGGUACUAUAUGAAUAAGCACCGGCUAACUCCGUGCCAGCAGCCGCGGUAAUACGGAGGGUGCAAGCGUUGUCCGGAUUUAUUGGGUUUAAAGGGUGCGUAGGCGGUUUAUUAAGUCAGUGGUGAAAGACGGUCGCUCAACGAUUGCAGUGCCAUUGAUACUGGUAGACUUGAGUGAGAUUGAGGUAGCUGGAAUGGAUAGUGUAGCGGUGAAAUGCAUAGAUAUUAUCCAGAACACCAAUUGCGUAGGCAAGUUACUAAGUCUCAACUGACGCUGAGGCACGAAAGUGUGGGUAUCAAACAGGAUUAGAUACCCUGGUAGUCCACACUGUAAACGAUGAUAACUAACUGUUGUUUUCGAAUCAGUGGUACAGAGAAAUCGUUAAGUUAUCCACCUGGGGAGUACGCCGGCAACGGUGAAACUCAAAUGAAUUGAGGCUUGAGAGAGCGAGACGACGACGAGGGAGGAGG
rnacentral:rRNA from 1 species